CAACCUUGGGAUACCACUCUUGGGAUAUUGGGAUUCUAACCUGCGACCAUGAAUCUGGUCGGGGGACACUGUCAGGUGGGCAGUUUGACUGGGGCGGUCGCCUCCAAAAGAGUAACGGAGGCGCUCAAAGGUUCGUUCAGCACGGAUGGAAAUCGUGCACUGAGUGUAAACGCAUAAACGAGCCUAACUGCGAGAAUGACGGUUCGAGCAGUAACGAAAGUUGGAGUUAGUGAUCCGGCGGUAUGUGAAUGGAAAUGCCGUCGCUCAACGGAUAAAAGCUACCCUGGGAUAACAGGCUGAUCUCCCCCAAGAGUCCACAUCGACGGGGAGGUUUGGCACCUCGAUGUCGGCUCAUCGCAUCCUGGGGCUGAAUCGGUCCCAAGGGUUUGGCUGUUCGCCAAUUAAAGCGGUACGCGAGCUGGGUUCAGAACGUCGUGAGACAGUUCGGUCCCUAUCUGUUGCGGGCGCAGGAAUAUUGAGAGGAGCUGUCCUUAGUACGAGAGGACCGGGAUGGACGUACCGCUGGUGCACCAGUUGUUCUGCCAAGGGCAUAGCUGGGUAGCUAAGUACGGACGAGAUAAACGCUGAAGGCAUCUAAGCGUGAAACUCCCCUCGAGAUAAGUGUUCCCAUCCU
rnacentral:rRNA from 1 species